rnacentral:rRNA from 1 species
CGGGGUACUCGAGCGGCGAACGGGUGAGUAACACGUGGGUAACCUNCCUUCAGCUCUGGGAUAAGCCUGGGAAACUGGGUCUAAUACCGGAUACGACACGCGGCCGCAUGGUUGUGUGUGGAAAGUUUUUCGGCUGGAGAUGGACUCGCGGCCUAUCAGCUUGUUGGUGGGGUAGUGGCCUACCAAGGCGAUGACGGGUAGCCGGCCUGAGAGGGCGACCGGCCACACUGGGACUGAGACACGGCCCAGACUCCUACGGGAGGCAGCAGUGGGGAAUAUUGCGCAAUGGGCGAAAGCCUGACGCAGCAACGCCGCGUGAGGGAUGACGGCCUUCGGGUUGUAAACCUCUUUCAGCGCUGACGAAGCCUUCGGGUGACGGUAGGCGCAGAAGAAGCACCGGCUAACUACGUGCCAGCAGCCGCGGUAAUACGUAGGGUGCGAGCGUUGUCCGGAAUUAUUGGGCGUAAAGGGCUCGUAGGCGGUUUGUUGCGUCUGCUGUGAAAGCCCGGGGCUUAACCCCGGGUCUGCAGUGGAUACGGGCAGGCUAGAGUCCGGCAGGGGAGACUGGAAUUCCUGGUGUAGCGGUGGAAUGCGCAGAUAUCAGGAGGAACACCGGUGGCGAAGGCGGGUCUCUGGGCCGGUACUGACGCUGAGGAGCGAAAGCGUGGGGAGCGAACAGGAUUAGAUACCCUGGUAGUCCACGCCGUAAACGUUGGGCGCUAGGUGUGGGUUCCCUUCCACGGGAUCCGUGCCGUAGCUAACGC